rnacentral:rRNA from 1 species
GACGAACGCUGGCGGCGUGCCUAACACAUGCAAGUCGUACGGUAAGGCCCUUCCUGGGGCACACGAGUGGCGAACGGGUGUGUAUCACGCGUGUAACCCUCCCACAACGUUGGGAUAACGCUAGGAAACUGGUCCCAAUUCCGGCUUUCUUCCCCUGCUGCAUGGUGGGGGUUGGUAAGCCCCCGCGCUUAUGGAUGGACCGGCGGCGUAUCAGCUUGUUGGUGGGGUAGUGGCCUACCAAGGCGACGACCGGUAGCCGGACUGAGAGGGUGAUCGGCCACAUUGGGUCUGAGAGGCGGCCCAGGCGCCGAAUGGAGGCAGCAGUGCGAAAGAUUGAUCAAUGGGCGCAAGCCGGGUGCAGCAGGGCCGCGUGCGGGAUGACAGCCUUCGGGUUGAGAACCGCUAGCAACAGAAACGCAGCUUUUUGUGACGGUACCUGCAGAAGAAGCACCGGCUAACUACGUG